CGGAAUCUGUCAAAUAAGCCAACUGAUAGAGGCUUAGUCAAAAUAUCUGCAACUUGAUCUUGACCAGAUAUAUGACCAACUUGAAAAGAACCACUCACAACCCUUUCUCUGAGAAAAAAUAAAUCCAGCUCCACAUGUUUAAAUUGGAAUGCAUCACAGGGUUAACAGCAACUGCAGCUAAGCUAUCACACCGGAGCAAUGCUUUGUGAGUAACUGGAACACCAAGUUCAGAUAGUAAAGACUUAACCCAUACUAGUUCAGCCGUGACCUGAGCCAAGCUCUUGUAUUCUGCCUCUGCUGUGGAACGUGACACAACUGACUGUUUCCUACUACUCCAAGAAAUCGGAUUACCUCCCAAGAAAACACAGAAGCCGGAAGUUGACCUGCGAUUAUCAGCAUCUGACGCCCAACUUGUAUCAGAAUACCUCUCAAGAAGCAACUUCAAGGUUGGAGUGAAAUAUAAGCCAAAAUCCAACGUUCCUCUCAGGUAUCUCAGAACCCGUUUCACAGCUUUGUAAUGAGUGUCCAAAGGCCUAUGCAUAAACUGACAAGCCUUGUUUACUAAAAACGCAAUGUCAGGUCUUGUUAUGACCACAUACUGCAAGGCGCCUACAACACUUCUGAACAGACGCUCGUCUUCAACAGGAGUCCCUUCAUGAGCAGACAGUUUGCAUGAAGUCAUCAUCGGAGUGGAAGAGGGUUUUGACUUUUCCAUGGAGGCACGCUGUAAUAAGUCGAGAAUAUACUUCUUUUGACUCAAAAAGACACCAUGAGGAGUGUGAGUAACCUCAAUACCAAGGAAAUAGCUUAG
rnacentral:lncRNA from 1 species